GUGGGGAAUUGUUCGCAAUGGGCGCAAGCCUGACGACGCAACGCCGCGUGGGGGAUGAAGGUCUUCGGAUUGUAAACCCCUGUUGGGUGGGACGAACACCUCCGUGGUGAAUAUCCAUGGAGGCUGACGGUACCAUCUGAGGAAGCCCCGGCUAACUCUGUGCCAGCAGCCGCGGUAAUACAGAGGGGGCAAGCGUUGUUCGGAAUUACUGGGCGUAAAGGGCGCGUAGGCGGCCUGUUAAGUCAGACGUGAAAUCCCUCGGCUCAACCGGGGAACUGCGCCUGAUACUGGCGGGCUUGAAUUCGGGAGAGGGAUGUGGAAUUCCAGGUGUAGCGGUGAAAUGCGUAGAUAUCUGGAGGAACACCGGUGGCGAAGGCGGCAUCCUGGACCGACAUUGACGCUGAGGCGCGAAAGCCAGGGGAGCAAACGGGAUUAGAAACCCGGGUAGUCC
rnacentral:rRNA from 1 species